rnacentral:rRNA from 1 species
GACGAACCGUGCGAACGUUGUUCGGAAUCACUGGGCUUAAAGGGCGCGUAGGCGGCUUGCCAAGUCAGGGGUGAAAUCCAGCAGCUUAACUGUUGAAGUGCCUUUGAUACUGGCGAGCUCGAGGGAGGUAGGGGUAUGCGGAACUUCUGGUGGAGCGGUGAAAUGCGUAGAUAUCUGGAGGAACACCGGUGGCGAAGGCGGCGUUCUGGACUGCAACUGACACUGAGAAACGAAAGCCAGGGUAGCAAACGGG